AAACCAACAGGGAUUGCCUUAGUAGCGGCGAGUGAAGCGGCAAAAGCUCAAAUUUGAAAUCUGGUACUUUCAGUAUCCGAGUUGUAAUUUGUAGAAGCAACUUUGGUGAUGGUCUUUGCAUAAGUUCCUUGGAAUAGGACGUCAUAGAGGGUGAGAAUCCCGUUUAUGGUGAAGAACCCACACUAUGUAAAGUGCUUUCGAAGAGUCGAGUUGUUUGGGAAUGCAGCUCAAAGUGGGUGGUAAAUUCCAUCUAAAGCUAAAUAUUGGCGAGAGACCGAUAGCGAACAAGUACUGUGAAGGAAAGAUGAAAAGAACUUUGAAAAGAGAGUGAAAAAGUACGUGAAAUUGUUGAAAGGGAAGGGAUCUAAAUCAGACAUGGUAUUUUGUGAUCAACAGUCUUUCGGGACUGUGCACUCGCAUUUUACUAGGCCAGCAUCGGUUAGAAGGGGGUAAAAAAGAUUUUGGAAUGUGGCUCUUCGGAGUGUUAUAGCCAAGGUUAAUUGCCCCAUUUCUGACCGAGGACCG
rnacentral:rRNA from 1 species